rnacentral:rRNA from 1 species
UACGUAGGGGGCUAGCGUUGUCCGGAUUUAUUGGGCGUAAAGAGCGUGUAGGCGGCCAUGUAGGUCCGGUGUGAAAACUCGAGGCUUAACCUCGAGAUGUCAUCGGAAACCAUUUGGCUAGAGUCCGGAAGAGGAGAGUGGAAUUCCUGGUGUAGCGGUGAAAUGCGCAGAUAUCAGGAAGAACACCCGUGGCGAAGGCGGUUCUCUGGGACGGUACUGACGCUGAGACGCGAAAGCGUGGGGAGCGAACAGG